ACUUGAGACCGGCGCACGGGUGCGUAACGCGUAUGCAAUCUACCUUUUACAGAGGGAUAGCCCAGAGAAAUUUGGAUUAAUACCUCAUAGUAUUGUGAAGUGGCAUCACUUUAUAAUUAAAGUCACAACGGUAAAAGAUGAGCAUGCGUCCCAUUAGCUAGUUGGUAAGGUAACGGCUUACCAAGGCUACGAUGGGUAGGGGUCCUGAGAGGGAGAUCCCCCACACUGGUACUGAGACACGGACCAGACUCCUACGGGAGGCAGCAGUGAGGAAUAUUGGACAAUGGGCGCAAGCCUGAUCCAGCCAUGCCGCGUGCAGGAUGACGGUCCUAUGGAUUGUAAACUGCUUUUAUACGAGAAGAAACACUACUUCGUGAAGUAGCUGACGG
rnacentral:rRNA from 1 species